rnacentral:rRNA from 1 species
GUGGGUCNAUGAAGAACGCAGCUAAUUGCGCGUCAACUUGUGAACUGCAGGACNCAUGAACAUCGACAUUUCGAACGCACAUUGCGGUCCUCGGAUUCUGUUCCCGGACCACUCCUGGCUGAGGGUCGUGUCUAUUUCAAAGACUGCUCGGUUUUCAUCAUCGUUAGACGCACGAACAGGCGCGCGUCGGACGUGGAAAACGACAGAGCGAGGUGGAUGUUAUACGCGUUGACGACGACGACUAUUAUCGUCAUCGACGCGACAUCUUAAAACGCGAAAGCGGCCGGAUUGCUGACGAAUUUAUUUGUCGACAUUCCGGCGAAAUCUAGAAGCGUCGUCGUGAGUACGCGCACGUCGGACGAUGACUAUAACAUCGUCGACGUACGACAAAGCGGUCGUCGUGUCCGAUAAUUUCGAAUGAAAAAAAAUCGGAAGAGACGUCAGAUCGCUAGCGCGCGCACACACCACGACUGGCACGCUUCGAAUCAAGCACUUCGGUGUUCGACCUCAGAGCAGGGGAGACUACCCGCUUAAUUUAAGCAUAUUACUAAGGNGGAGGAA